rnacentral:rRNA from 1 species
CGAGCGACAGAUAGGAGCUUGCUCCUUUGACGUUAGCGGCGGACGGGUGAGUAACACGUGGGUAACCUACCUAUAAGACUGGGAUAACUUCGGGAAACCGGAGCUAAUACCGGAUAACAUUUGGAACCGCAUGGUUCUAAAGUGAAAGAUGGUUUUGCUAUCACUUAUAGAUGGACCCGCGCCGUAUUAGCUAGUUGGUAAGGUAACGGCUUACCAAGGCGACGAUACGUAGCCGACCUGAGAGGGUGAUCGGCCACACUGGAACUGAGACACGGUCCAGACUCCUACGGGAGGCAGCAGUAGGGAAUCUUCCGCAAUGGGCGAAAGCCUGACGGAGCAACGCCGCGUGAGUGAUGAAGGGUUUCGGCUCGUAAAACUCUGUUAUUAGGGAAGAACAAAUGUGUAAGUAACUGUGCACGUCUUGACGGUAC